rnacentral:rRNA from 1 species
UACUCCUACGGGAGGCAGCAGUGAGGAAUAUUGGUCAAUGGGCGGGAGCCUGAACCAGCCAAGUCGCGUGAAGGAAGAAGGAUCUAUGGUUCGUAAACUUCUUUUGCAGGGGAAUAAAGUGCGGGACGUGUCCUGUUUUGUACGUACCCUGAGAAUAAGGAUCGGCUAACUCCGUGCCAGCAGCCGCGGUAAUA